GACGAACGCUGGCGGCGUGCUUAACACAUGCAAGUCGAACGGAAAGGCUCCAGCUUGCUGGAGUACUCGAGUGGCGAACGGGUGAGUAACACGUGGGUAAUCUGCCCUGCACUCUGGGAUAAGCCUGGGAAACUGGGUCUAAUACUGGAUAUGACCUUUCUCCUUAUGGGGUUUGGUGGAAAGUUUUUCGGUGUAGGAUGAGCCCGCGGCCUAUCAGCUUGUUGGUGGGGUGAUGGCCUACCAAGGCGACGACGGGUAGCCGGCCUGAGAGGGUGAUCGGCCACAUUGGGACUGAGAUACGGCCCAGACUCCUACGGGAGGCAGCAGUGGGGAAUAUUGUACAAUGGGCGGAAGCCUGAUGCAGCGACGCCGCGUGAGGGAUGACGGCCUUCGGGUUGUAAACCUCUUUCAGCAGGGACGAAGCGUAAGUGACGGUACCUGCAGAAGAAGCACCGGCUAACUAUGUG
rnacentral:rRNA from 1 species